CUUGUUUGUUGACAUCGGUCUAGCUCAAACCAUACAUAUUUGCAAAGAUGUUUUGGUUUGAACUAGACCGAGUACAACAAACAAA